rnacentral:rRNA from 1 species
UUGAACGCUGGCGGCAUGCCUUACACAUGCAAGUCGAACGGUAGAGGGGCAACCCUUGAGAGUGGCGAACGGGUGAGUAAUAUAUCGGAACGUGCCCAGUCGUGGGGGAUAACGCAGCGAAAGCUGCGCUAAUACCGCAUACGAUCUAUGGAUGAAAGCGGGGGAUCGCAAGACCUCGCGCGAUUGGAGCGGCCGAUAUCAGAUUAGGUAGUUGGUGGGGUAAAAGCCCCACCAAGCCGACGAUCUGUAGCU